rnacentral:rRNA from 1 species
AGUGAACGCUGGCGGUAGGCCUAACACAUGCAAGUCGAACGGCAGCACAGUAAGCGCUUGCUCUUACGGGUGGCGAGUGGCGGACGGGUGAGGAAUACAUCGGAAUCUACUUUUUCGUGGGGGAUAACGUAGGGAAACUUACGCUAAUACCUCAUACGACCUACGGGUGAAAGCAGGGGAUCUUCGGACCUUUCGCGAUUGAAUGAGUCGAUGUCGGAUUAGCUAGUUGGCGGGGUAAAGGCACACCAAGGCGACGAUCCGUAGCUGGUCUGAGAGGAUGAUCAGCCACACUGGAACUGAGACACGGUCCAGACUCCUACGGGAGGCAGCAGUGGGGAAUAUUGGACAAUGGGCGCAAGCCUGAUCCAGCCAUACCGCGUGGGUGAAGAAGGCCUUCGGGUUGUAAAGCCCUUUUGUUGGGAAAGAAAAGCAGCAGGUUAAUACCCCGCUGUUCUGACGGUACCCAAAGAAUAAGCACCGGCUAACUUCGUG